CCCCUCUCCCCCCCAACACACACUUCCCGCCUCAGUGCGAGGGGCGCGGGCAGGAGUGGGGACCGUCCCCUCAGAGAGCGAUGGGCGUGGUGAUGGUGGCACCCUCCGUGAGGCAGGGACGGGACAGCGAGGGGUAGCAGGAGCCGGGCAGCCCCUUAGUGGGGACAGCCCGCGGGGCCGGGCGUCGGGGUUCCCGGGCUGCCCCCGCCACCGCCCUCCCCACCGGCUGACAUUUGCCAUGCGCAGACAACACGCACUUCACCAAACAAUUGAGCCUGAGCCCCGCUACAAACUAGCUGGAUUAUUUUUCUCCUCGUUCUCCGCUUGUUUAUGGCUGACGCUAUCUCGCCUGCCCCGCUCCCUCGGUUUCAUUAUCUCUCUUCGCAGAUGGACCGUGGCUUUCCUUCUUCACAGGGCUUCUCUCUGCUGGUGCUAUAGCUCCCUCUCUUCUUCCCAGCUCUGCAUCCCUCACCCUUGCUCGCAGGUGAGCCUUCCCCAGCAAAGCACUUCACUCCAGCCGUCCUUCCUUCUGCAGUCCCUUCUCUAAAGACCACACCAUUCCAUAAAAUAAAGCCAAGGGCACUAAUGUAAUAAUAGUAAUAUUGUGGCCAGCAGAAUCAGCGCAGUGACCAUCCCCUGUGCUGUGGCACCUCCAAUUCUGAGGAUUAAAGAAGUGCAACAGCUUCCAAGGAUUUGAAGGCGUGGUGGAAAAUGGAAAAAAGUUUUUUACCUCAUUGGCAGAGAAUUUAAGCUUUUGUUUACAGGUUCGAAGGAGGGAGAUGGGAUGGAAGGAGACAUCUGACUUCUCAGACCCUCCUUUGGUAAGAUUCGCAUCGGGAUUCCAAGGUUGUGCAGAAUCCUUGCUCCCCCAAGGAAGCUCCCACUAGACUUGUAACCUGUAGACUCUCGUCCUGCUCUCCUCCACUUGAUAUUUUGGGUGGAGCAGUCACCCAACACUCACCAGCCCAGCCAUUCCCCACCUUCCCCUGUUGUUGUGAAGUUCCAUGGAAACACCCUGCAUGUGCAGUCAAGGAACAGUUCUCUUCACUUUCAUUAGCUCUGCUCUGGCUGGGACAGACCUCAUGCUGUCUCCUGAAACACUGAAUUUUUAAUUUCACUUUGCUUUUAUUGUGUAAAUUUUUCUCCGUUGAAUUCAAGUAGCAGAUUAAAUACAUGAAGCAGAAAACCACAAAUGCCAGUGAUGGUUGGAUUCAUUUUAAGUGUGACCGAGAUUUGUUUUAGAGAGCAAGAAGUGGUCUGAGGUUGUAUUUGUUAUUUCCUCAGCACCACCACCACCUUCUGAUUUGUUUUUAUCCAGGACAGAUAUAACAGCCAGCGUGUCCCUCUAAGGCAGCACCUGAGUGGAUCAUGUCUGUGACACCCUUGAAGGAAGAUGCUUCCUCUGGAUCGCUUUCUUAGCUACCACAACGAGCCAUCGUGGUAGAGCUGGGAGCCUCCAUGCAGUCUAGAUCUUGGGUCCUGGGUUCAUUCUGGUGUUGGUUGUGCUGGUUCCCUGUGGAGAACUCUGACCAGCCUUCCAAAAUACUCUGUGACAGGUUUCCUUUCUCAGAGACUGAGUUAGAGGAAAUAUUUCACAGAGCAAUAGCUGGGCAAAUGCAAAUCCUACUUGCAGAGUUCUUUUAACUUCAAGCCACUAAAUAUACAUAUUUAGUCUAUGGAACUGAAUUUACUUCCCCUCUCAGAAGAACAAGCUUUGUCAGCUGUAAUGAUGAGCUGUUGUUUGACGUUCAUAAUAUUGUACUUUACUGCUUAUCUGAUGGAGCCACGCAAAGCUAUUUAGAGGGUUCUGAAAUGUGACAACCCACAUGAUGCUUUUUUAGACUUCACAAACCGCCUUCAUGAGGCAGGAGAAUAUGACAUGGGAACGGCUGGCUGGAACAACAGCGUGCCUUAAUGCCAGUGGGGUUGCUGUAGCUGGGGAGGAGGAAUGCUCUUUGAAAGUUUGCAGCUUUUAUUAUGUGCUGUCAAAGGAAAAACUGAAAGAACAGGCAUCAUGGGUGUCAUGGGUGGGGACUAUGGGGAUUAUUGAUCCUGUCUGGAAACAGCAUAAAGAUGCAGGCAAAGAUGUUAAAACCUGUUUGGACCAUCCACAGACAGAAGGCCUCAAGGGAGACAGCUCAGAUGCCCCAUUUCCUGCUUUCUUGCCUUAAUAAACAGCAAGAUCUCACUUUCUGACAAACUUCGGUAUCUUCAUCCUUGCUGACAUGCACAGCGUUCGUUGCGAGCUUUGUUUUGAAUGCUGGAAGCCUCCAGGUGAAAGAACUCGUUUAGAAAAACCAAAACUCAACAAAUCUUCUGACUUCUGUUCACAGACUAACAGGUUAACAGUGGCAAAUAUUGUGAAAGACUGUUACUCCUCCAUGGUUUUAAAAAUUAUAAAGUAUCAUGAUGCUUAUUUCACUUUUCCAUAGCAGAAGAGCACAAGGGUUACCUUUGACAUCUUUUCCAUACGAACCCAUGGAAGCUGAGUAAGUGGGUGGUGCAUUCUCACUUCCUUGCGGUGGCCAGGUUGGUUUUGUGUCUGUAUUUCCAUCCUUUUGAAAUUGCUGUUCAAUUUAUUCAUAUCACUGAGAGGAUUUCAUAUCCCAGAUGAGAUGCACAGAUUAAAUAAGCAAGUAAGCAGUAGAAGAUCUUUUUGUGUGACUCAAGAGGGAGGAUAAGUCCCAGUCCGGAUGAAUAGGAAUCUCUGGCUCCCCUGGGACCAGAAUUUUACUUGCAGGCUUUAUGGUUGUCUCGUUGGAGUGGCCUUUUUGCCAAAAGCAAUGCAGAAUAUUCCACUUAUCUGACAAAAUGUCUGCCACCAGGAGGUGGCUUCACUCAAAUAUACAUUUCUGUAAGAUGAAGACAAACUUAAGUUUAUUGCUCAUUCCAUUCAUAACCAGAAGUUCUUCUGGCUUGCCAAACUGCUGAAUCAGCUUGGGUACCUCAUCCUUGAGUCAGCACAACCCAAAAUAGAAGCUUGCUCCAUUUCCGAAGAGAGGAAGUACCACUGUUGUCUGCAAAUACAGCCACAUCUGACAUGCUUUUAUAGCUACAAACACUCAAUGGAGGGACUUGCAUGGCACCCUGCUGCUUAAAAAAAAAAAAAAAAAAGAAGGAAGUAAAAAGGCACUUUCUUAUUCAAAAUAGGAGUGUUAGGGUUGCUAUGAGUAGGACUGUGUGGGUGUGGAAGUCCCAAGGAAUAAAGGGCAGGAGAAGGACUUUACAAGUGGCAGUCAUUGAUGUCACCUAGCCCAGCCCUGCAUCAAGCUCCCACUCCACCUGCUUGCAGUUUCUCAGAAUGUAUAAAUUAGGGAGACAAGGGACAGGCUAUAACCAAACUGAAGCAAAGUCUUAAGCCAUUAGGAAAUAAUGGCAAGAAAACAGGGUAGAAGCUCUAAAACACUGACUGGAGAUCAGCUACAGCGGUCGUCAUCCAGCAUUCCCAAGGCAGAGCUGAGUCAGUCCUGCUGCCAUGAGGUAACUCUGCUUUAUAGCACAGCAUAAACCAGCAAAAACCUGGGGGAAUGACCAAGAGCUGCAGUCAAAUAGUGGGAAGUGACACUAAAGUCAUCAGCAGGACUUCAUGAGUAGGUGGAAGGCAGUUGAAAAGGCACAGAAAAACAGUCCUACGUGAUACAAAUGAGGGAGGAUUUUCUGGGGCUCCAAGUCAGGAUGGGAAGUAGAAGAAUGACGAUAAUGUGAAUUCUCUCGAUCUACCCCUCUCAAGUUCUGCAGUUUUUUCUCUUGCAAAUGAGCUUCUGUGGUUUUUGACAUCCUACAAAAGGCCCCCUGUUGUCAAGCAGCACUGGUGUGCCCCCUUCCCAUGGGUGCUUCUGGUUUUCCCUUCCUUCAUGCUGCAGGAUGGUGUCAUGCUCUUCCAGGUCCAAGCAAAGGCCUGUUUCUGGCACUUCCAUUAAACAUGUCUGAACUAGCUCUAUUUUCCACAAGGAACGGGCCAUUCCAACAGGCAGACAAAAACCAGUAACCCCUUUCAAACCAUGGGCAGGCGAGACGUGACCCUUGGUACACGAUUUUCUUGCAGUACUAUGGAGGAAACUGUAGAGAUUUGAAAAAUUUGUUAUUUCUGCAAUGGGUGUGAAGGUUGCAACACACAAUUUUACCAUUUUCGGAUUUUUGCAAUGGUGCAGUUGCAAACUGAAACAUGUUUUAUAUUUAGUGGUUUGGAUUAUUCGGUUGAAAAGAGGUGAGGGUGAAGAUUUACAGGUGUAAUUACAGGAUUAUGCAGUCACCUCGUGCACAUGCUACAGGUUUGGGAGGAAGACCUGCUGCAAAUCUGCAGAAAACCCCAGCUAAGGAAUUGCAUGUGCCACAAGCAAUUACACAACAUAAAACUUUGUGAAACAUUUGCUAUGUGUGCACCAAGCCCUUCUUAAAUUUAGGUUUCUGGGAAGAAGAGGAUUGCUGGGGCAUUUUUGUGACCUGAUCCCUCGUCUCGGUUGAUCCGCGAUGGAAAGGUGACCCUGAGCACGGCUGAGCUGGGAAUGGAUCUGGUGAGAGCCAUUGCUGUCCGAGCCACGCAGAGUGUUCCCAACUUCAUCCCUGAAUAGAUUCACUUGCUCUUUCCCUGGCUCUAUUUUAGCCCCAAAUCUGUUAUUCUGCCCUGUGGGUGCCAACAUUUUUUGAAAAAUAACCAAACCCAGUAAUAUUGGAUUUCUGGUGCUUUUUUUUUUCCCCAGAAGGAUUGAAGUGAACAUUCUUCUCACCUAUACCUAGGACUUCACCUGUGUGGCUGCAACUCCAGUGACAUCCAGAAAGAUAUGUGACCCUCACUCCUUCAGUGGAGCAGAUGUAUCUCAGCAACUUAGCAGUGAUGUGACAAGGAUGAAGUGGAAGGCAUUGAGAAAUUAUUAUAUCAACUUUUAGGUUGUAUUUAAGACAAUUUGUACACGCUUUUGUGUUCUCAACCUUGGAAGAAGUUCACUUCUGUCUACAAACACAGGAACCUGUCAUUACUUCAAUUUGUUGUAGUGGUGGUAGGAUUAAGACUUGGAUGAAACAAGAAAAAGUCCUACAGGGCAAUUUAUAGAACCAAACAAUCAUGGAAUGGUUUGGGUUGGAAGGAACUUUAAAGAUCAUCUCGCUCCAACCCCCUGCCAUGGCAGGGACACCUUCCACUAGACCAGGUUGAAUGUGAAAGCAAACACCUUCCAAAAAAUCAUGUUUAAAACUGAGCAUGAAUGCAUGUUUGUGCCAUGCGCCUUGUUCUGUUUCCAGAGGAGAAAAAAGUGGGAAGAAAAUGUUGCUGAGAACACUGAAACAUAACACUUUGGCAGAGGUGGUUAUCACAUCCUCCAGGCAUUUUUACCUAUGGUGCUGCCCUGACAACUGCAGUGUAUUGUGGAAAUAAAAUGUGAAGUUACUCAGGACUGGGUCCUGCUGGUUGUGGAUGAGGCAAGUACAGAAAUACCUUUUGACAGAGGUAAGAGGGAAUGCUUGCUUCCACAGGGAAAGGGCAAUAGUGGUUCUGGGAACUGAAAACAGCAAAUGUUUGUUAAAAAGGGGAGUUGGGGAGCAAGACAAGGUGGCACAUAGAACACAGUGAAAGGUCACAGAGGGAGAAAUACUACAAUCCAGCAUUUAUUGGCUAAAUGGAAGCAGGACUUAGGAAUGAGGCCCUAAUCCUUUUAUAAACCAGGAAGCUCCUUGAGUUGGGUGAAUGGGAGAACCAACAGUCACUGUCAAUAAGCAAAAAUCAAACAACCCUCGUGCUUCGUGGCACAUGUUAAACUCUCAGUGGAACAGUCAGGAAAAAUCCCAUGACAGGCUUCCCAGCAAUUUCCCACCAAAGGUUUCCUCCAGGCUGCAGCUUUCAGAAGCUCGGCAUGAUUUAUACCUGUGAGAACUGCUCAGAGGUCGUUUUGGUAGAUUCAGAGAGAUGAGUUAUUUACCAAAGGGAACUUGGUGCAGACCAUGCUACUAUGUGUGAUCUCAUGGAUAAAACUGUCCCACAGCUUGUCUAUUUAUUUGGGAAAUUAAUUUCUAGAACACUUGGAAAACAAAACCAGGAGUUGAAAUUGCCUCUCAGUAUUUCUUCAGUCCAAACAAAAAAACAAACAGGCCCAUUGUGUGUCUUAUGUGUUCAGUCAAAAUAUCUCAGUUAUUAAUGUUAAAUUCCUGGGUACCUGUUCCUGAAUAAGCUACAAAGCUGAAGCCUGGCUGAAAAUAUUAAAGUAAGGUAUCCCACCAUCUUCAGCUGAAGGAUUUUCCACACUUCUGCAGUGAUUUUGGGGGGAAGAGACAUGUGGCCAGAGAAGGAGAAAAGGCUCCAGCCAUGCACCAAGGAAGUGGGGGCUGAGAAGCAGAUUUAUUGUGCUAAGUGGCUUUUUCCUGUCUGCUCAUUUCUCCUCUUUUACCAUCCUUGUUUCCAUUCCUUCCUCAGCUUUGGCUCUGUUGACGAGCAGGGAAAAUAUUCUACUCCCCUUUCACAGUUGUAACACAUAUUUAUUAAGUCUCAUUCUAUUAUAACCCAAAUAACUAUUGCCAUGUUUGAUUUUUCAUUUGGACCAUUUAAGCUCUUAAUGAAGGAUUUGCUCUUCACCUGGAUCUCUUGCUUCCGUUUCUUAUUGCAUUCAGUUCACAGUCAAUUCCCAUGGACUCCUUUAGAGACACGUUGAGUGGAGGUGUGUGGAUUUUUACCAGAUUUUUCUCCUGCCCUGUCUCACCUCUCCAGACGCGCUGCUCACACCAGGAGGCACCAAGUCCAUCACUUUGCUACAGCCUCAAACUUCUUCUUCCAAGGUAGAAAUGUGGCAGGGCUCUUAUAGAGAUUAUUAUCUUCCUGACCUCAUCCUGAGUGCAAACCAGCCCACAGCCCACCUCUGCCCUUAGAUGAGCAGUUGUGCUUCUCUAACCACAGAAACUUCAGCAACACAGAGUCACUGCCUUCAUUCUUCCCCAAAAAGGCAACGCGUGGCAGUGACAACUUAGUGGGAAGUUGUUUCUCUCUCCAACAGAACAGAGCUUCAGGUGGCCACUGUCUGGAGCCCACCACCUCUGCACUGCUCAGUGUCCUAGGAGACGAUGCAGAUACAGAGUUUUUGGGCUGAGGUCUUACUUAAAUUAUAUAUUAGGCUGAAAAAUGAACACACAGGAAUGAAGGAUGCUCCCAGUGCCUGUGGGUGCUGGAGCAACGUGGGGCUGACAGCAGGGAUGGUCUGAGCUGCUCCAUCCUCCUCCUGCAUCUUAAGGCAAAGACGUGGCAAACACCAUGGACUGAAAGAAGUCCCUUUUAUAGGCCUCAAAUCUUACAGAAAAUAAAGAGCUACAGGGCUGAAGAAACCUCUUAGGCUGGAAAUGUAUGUAGUGUUUCUGUAGCAUAGGGAGAGCACAAAGCUUCACUUAGCAAAAGCAGCCAAAUCUACUGGACUGUGGGGUUGGAACACUUUUAUGUCUAGCAAGUAAUAACUGUGUUUAAUUAGCUUUAUUUAGAUGAUAGAUGUCAAUGUCGAGCUCUCUCAGUGAAAAGGGCAGAAUGUCCUUAGUGGGAAAUGUGAUUUUUGAAGCCUGACAACAUAAAACCAGAGGGAAGGUUUGUGCUCAGACUGCUGGGGAGAAAAAUCACCUUUGGCUCAACAAAACAGGAAGGAUUUCAAGCCCACAGCAGAAGUUUUUCAAGAAACUAAUGAAAAUGGAGGAUUAUAGUUUAAACUGUUUUGCAAUCGCUGGCCUCAGUCCUGCAGACACUUUUCACACACACUCAACUUUAUAUCCAUGGUUGGUUUUGCUGAUCCACAUGGGAUUAUUGACACCUGGAGACAGAAGUGAAGGCCAGACUGUUUACAGAGCAGAGUUUAAACGAUAGCAUUUUAAUCAAAAAAAUGACAUUAUA